rnacentral:rRNA from 1 species
GACGAACGCUGGCGGCGUGCCUAAUACAUGCAAGUCGAGCGCAGGAAGCUGACGGAACUCUUCGGAGGGAAGGCAGUGGAAUGAGCGGCGGACGGGUGAGUAACACGUAAGGAACCUGCCUCAAGGAUUGGGAUAACUCCGAGAAAUCGGAGCUAAUACCGGAUAGUUCAACGGACCGCAUGGCCCGCUGAUGAAAGGAGCUUCGGCGUCACCUUGAGAUGGCCUUGCGGUGCAUUAGCUAGUUGGUGGGGUAACGGCCCACCAAGGCGACGAUGCAUAGCCGACCUGAGAGGGUGAUCGGCCACACUGGGACUGAGACACGGCCCAGACUCCUACGGGAGGCAGCAGUAGGGAAUCUUCCACAAUGGACGAAAGUCUGAUGGAGCAAUGCCGCGUGAGUGAUGAAGGUUUUCGGAUCGUAAAACUCUGUUGUAAGGGAAGAACACGUACGAGAGGGAAUGCUCGUACCUUGACGGUACCUUACGAGAAAGCCACGGCUAACUACGUGCCAGCCGCCGCAGUAACAC